UAGUAUUAGUUAUGUUCUUUAAACCUAAAGAAUUUGGCGGUGUUUUAGUCCUAUCAGAGGAACUUGUCCUGUUAUCGAUAGUCCUCGUUUUAUCUUUCUUGAUUUUGUUUAUUCAGUAUGUAUAUCGCCGUUAUAAGUUUAUUUUUUUAGAAUUAUUAAUUUGCUAGUUAUUUUAUUAAAUAUUAUUUCAGGUCAAGGUGCAGCUUAUAAUUAAGUAGAGAUGAGUUACAAUAUUAUAUGAAUAAAUGGAUUUGUUUUAAAUUGAAUUAUUCAAUGAAGGUGGAUUUGGUAGUAAUUUUAAUUAUAGUGUUAUUUUGAUUUUGGCUCUAAAAUAAGUACACAUCGCCCGUCGCUCU
rnacentral:rRNA from 1 species